rnacentral:rRNA from 1 species
UUAAGCGACUAAGCGUACACGGUGGAUGCCCUGGCAGUCAGAGGCGAUGAAGGGCGUGCUAAUCUGCGAUAAGCGCCGGUAAGGUGAUAUGAACCGUUAUAACCGGCGAUACCCGAAUGGGGAAACCCAGUGUGACUCGUCACACUAUCAUUAACUGAAUCCAUAGGUUAAUGAGGCGAACCGGGGGAACUGAAACAUCUAAGUACCCCGAGGAAAAGAAAUCAACCGAGAUUCCCCCAGUAGCGGCGAGCGAACGGGGAGGAGCCCAGAGCCUGAAUCAGCAUGUGUGUUAGUGGAAGCGUCUGGAAAGGCGCGCGAUACAGGGUGACAGCCCCGUACACAAAAGCGCAUGUGCUGUGAGCUCGAUGAGUAGGGCGGGACACGUGGUAUCCUGUCUGAAUAUGGGGGGACCAUCCUCCAAGGCUAAAUACUCCUGACUGACCGAUAGUGAACCAGUACCGUGAGGGAAAGGCGAAAAGAACCCCGGCGAGGGGAGUGAAAAAGAACCUGAAACCGUGUACGUACAAGCAGUGGGAGCACAGGUUUACCUGUGUGACUGCGUACCUUUUGUAUAAUGGGUCAGCGACUUAUAUUCUGUAGCAAGGUUAACCGAAUAGGGGAGCCGGAGGGAAACCGAGUCUUAAUUGGGCGUUAAGUUGCAGGGUAUAGACCCGAAACCCGGUGAUCUAGCCAUGGGCAGGUUGAAGGUUGGGUAACACUAACUGGAGGACCGAACCGACUAAUGUUGAAAAAUUAGCGGAUGACCUGUGGCUGGGGGUGAAAGGCCAAUCAAACCGGGAGAUAGCUGGUUCUCCCCGAAAGCUAUUUAGGUAGCGCCUCGUGAAUUCAUCUCCGGGGGUAGAGCACUGUUUCGGCUAGGGGGCCAUCCCGGCUUACCAACCCGAUGCAAACUGCGAAUACCGGAGAAUGUUAUCACGGGAGACACACGGCGGGUGCUAACGUCCGUCGUGAAGAGGGAAACAACCCAGACCGCCAGCUAAGGUCCCAAAGUCAUGGUUAAGUGGGAAACGAUGUGGGAAGGCCCAGACAGCCAGGAUGUUGGCUUAGAAGCAGCCAUCAUUUAAAGAAAGCGUAAUAGCUCACUGGUCGAGUCGGCCUGCGCGGAAGAUGUAACGGGGCUAAACCAUGCACCGAAGCUGCGGCAGCGACGCUGAUGCGUUGUUGGGUAGGGGAGCGUUCUGUAAGCCUGCGAAGGUGGCCUGUGAGGGUUGCUGGAGGUAUCAGAAGUGCGAAUGCUGACAUAAGUAACGAUAAAGCGGGUGAAAAGCCCGCUCGCCGGAAGACCAAGGGUUCCUGUCCAACGUUAAUCGGGGCAGGGUGAGUCGACCCCUAAGGCGAGGCCGAAAGGCGUAGUCGAUGGGAAACGGGUUAAUAUUCCCGUACUUGGUGUUACUGCGAAGGGGGGACGGAGAAGGCUAUGUUGGCCGGGCGACGGUUGUCCCGGUUUAAGCGUGUAGGUGUGUGUUCCAGGUAAAUCCGGUUCACUUUAACACUGAGGCGUGAUGACGAGGCACUACGGUGCUGAAGCAACAAAUGCCCUGCUUCCAGGAAAAGCCUCUAAGCAUCAGGUAACAUCAAAUCGUACCCCAAACCGACACAGGUGGUCAGGUAGAGAAUACCAAGGCGCUUGAGAGAACUCGGGUGAAGGAACUAGGCAAAAUGGUGCCGUAACUUCGGGAGAAGGCACGCUGACACGUAGGUGAAGUGAUUUACUCACGGAGCUGAAGUCAGUCGAAGAUACCAGCUGGCUGCAACUGUUUAUUAAAAACACAGCACUGUGCAAACACGAAAGUGGACGUAUACGGUGUGACGCCUGCCCGGUGCCGGAAGGUUAAUUGAUGGGGUCAGCGCAAGCGAAGCUCCUGAUCGAAGCCCCGGUAAACGGCGGCCGUAACUAUAACGGUCCUAAGGUAGCGAAAUUCCUUGUCGGGUAAGUUCCGACCUGCACGAAUGGCGUAAUGAUGGCCAGGCUGUCUCCACCCGAGACUCAGUGAAAUUGAACUCGCUGUGAAGAUGCAGUGUACCCGCGGCAAGACGGAAAGACCCCGUGAACCUUUACUAUAGCUUGACACUGAACAUUGAGCCUUGAUGUGUAGGAUAGGUGGGAGGCUUUGAAGUGUGGACGCCAGUCUGCAUGGAGCCGACCUUGAAAUACCACCCUUUAAUGUUUGAUGUUCUAACGUGGACCCGUGAUCCGGGUUGCGGACAGUGUCUGGUGGGUAGUUUGACUGGGGCGGUCUCCUCCUAAAGAGUAACGGAGGAGCACGAAGGUUGGCUAAUCCUGGUCGGACAUCAGGAGGUUAGUGCAAUGGCAUAAGCCAGCUUGACUGCGAGCGUGACGGCGCGAGCAGGUGCGAAAGCAGGUCAUAGUGAUCCGGUGGUUCUGAAUGGAAGGGCCAUCGCUCAACGGAUAAAAGGUACUCCGGGGAUAACAGGCUGAUACCGCCCAAGAGUUCAUAUCGACGGCGGUGUUUGGCACCUCGAUGUCGGCUCAUCACAUCCUGGGGCUGAAGUAGGUCCCAAGGGUAUGGCUGUUCGCCAUUUAAAGUGGUACGCGAGCUGGGUUUAGAACGUCGUGAGACAGUUCGGUCCCUAUCUGCCGUGGGCGCUGGAGAACUGAGGGGGGCUGCUCCUAGUACGAGAGGACCGGAGUGGACGCAUCACUGGUGUUCGGGUUGUCAUGCCAAUGGCACUGCCCGGUAGCUAAAUGCGGAAGAGAUAAGUGCUGAAAGCAUCUAAGCACGAAACUUGCCCCGAGAUGAGUUCUCCCUGAGACUUAGAGUCUCCUGAAGGAACGUUGAAGACGACGACGUUGAUAGGCCGGGUGUGUAAGCGCAGCGAUGCGUUGAGCUAACCGGUACUAAUGAACCGUGAGGCUUAACCUU